CCUCAUGGCCUGUCCCCAGAAAACAGGGACACCUGGUCAAUUUACUUCACUCUGCCAGAUUCCAUCCUGGAGGAUACAGUUACUUGUCAAAGUGGAGUUUGUGGAGAUCAAUCCAGCCAAUCCAUUGACCGUUAGAAGCCUGUAAAGACACUUCCCAUAACAGAAGGAAUAUAAAGAAGGAAUAUUUCACUACUUUACUCUGAGGGCGGCCCGGAGCGGCUAAUCGGGAGA